GGCAGAGUGGCCGAGUGGUUAUGGCGCUGGUCUCAAGUGACAUUACAUAUGCACUUUGAAUUGCAAAAAGCAGUUUUCCAGUCACGAAAGUGGCAGGGGUUCGAAUCCCCUCUCUGUCA